UGCCUUACCUGCAGUCGAACGGUAACAGGUCUUCGGACGCUGACGAGUGGCGAACGGGUGAGUAAUACAUCGGAACGUGCCCAGUCGUGGGGGAUAACUACUCGAAAGAGUAGCUAAUACCGCAUACGAUCUGAGGAUGAAAGCGGGGGACCUUCGGGCCUCGCGCGAUUGGAGCGGCCGAUGGCAGAUUAGGUAGUUGGUGGGAUAAAAGCUUACCAAGCCGACGAUCUGUAGCUGGUCUGAGAGGACGACCAGCCACACUGGGACUGAGACACGGCCCAGACUCCUACGGGAGGCAGCAGUGGGGAAUUUUGGACAAUGGGCGAAAGCCUGAUCCAGCAAUGCCGCGUGCAGGAUGAAGGCCUUCGGGUUGUAAACUGCUUUUGUACGGAACGAAAAAGCUUCCCCAAAUACGAGAGGCCCAUGACGGUACCGUAAGAAUAAGCACCGGCUAACUACGUGCCAGCAGCCGCGGUAAUACGUAGGGUGCGAGCGUUAAUCGGAAUUACUGGCGUAAAGCGUGCGCAGGCGGUUAUGUAAGGCAGAUGUGAAAUCCCCGGGCUCAACCUGGGAACUGCAUUUGUGACUGCAUGGCUAGAGUACGGUAGAGGGGGGAUGGAAUUCCGCGUGUAGCAGUGAAAUGCGUAGAUAUGCGGAGGAACACCAG
rnacentral:rRNA from 1 species